UAAACUUGUUGUUAAAAUGAAGUUAAUGUAAUUUCACAAACAGUAGAGUUUAACUUAAUGAGUUUUUCCAUUAACAAGAAUUUCUUAAAAUAAUAAUGUAUGGAUAUCAUUUGGAAAGUGACAUGAAAUGUUGUUAAAAAGUGAUGCAUACAAGUGUUUCAGAAGUCUGUCUAGGAAUAGAACAACAACUGAAGCUGACCAGUUGAUGGAAGAUACUGCAGAGUUUGGCAGGGAAAUAACCCAAGACAGCAAAGCGGCUCUUUUGGCGCAUUUACCAAGAGGACUAACAUGGCCACAAAUUCAUGAGAUCAUGCAGGAGCCGUACAGUAUAACAGCAGUACAAGUUCUAUAAAAGAUCCACGACCUACUGAAGCCCAGCUAAUUAACAAAAAAGUUUUUAAAAACUGUAAUUUUAUCCCACCUGGGUACUUAUAAUUUACUAAGCUGCCUUCACAAGUUUUAGACUUGCAAUUAUAUUUUAAACUGUCACUUGGAAAGUAAUACAUGUACAUGCAUUCAUGUUCUGAAUUUCUUUGAACAAUAAAAUUAUAUAAAAGUAUUUUAAUGAAAUUGAGCACCUACAUUGCAUUAAAGUGAAAGUAGCUGAGAAAAAUAGUAUCCUUAAUUGUUCUCAUGGGCAGCUACAUAUAUUGUGACAAACAUGAAGUAGCUAAAAUAACUUUAAUUUUUCAUUUUGUUUCUUGUAUAUCGUUUGUACAGGGUUCGUGAAUUGUUACUGUAUAUUACUUGACUUGCUUGUAUUUUGUUACUUUGAAUACAUGUUGUUAAGGUUGCAUUAUACUUUUUAACUUUUAAAGUAGCGCCUGUUCUGUUAUGUAAGGGCCUGAUUUAUGAUAAUGGACCUAGAGGCUUUGUAAGCAUGUAUUAAACAACACUUGUUUGAUCUGAAUAAUUUGUUAAAUAAAUGUAACACAAUUUGUAAUCUGAUGUUAUAUUUUGAUGAAUUGUGAACAAAAUAAUACAUCGAAGAAACUAA